AUCGUUGCGCAGUAGGGCUAGCGGCUUCGUGUUUUGGUACUCGGACCCGGCAGCCGCUUUUGGUGCUAAGCUGCUAGGAAGCCCUUCUCAGCGAGCUCGUUGGAGCUUGAACCCAUUGUCACCCCUCGGACUUAACGACAAAACAAAACAAAAAAAUGGUUGAAGCAGAUCGCCCAGGAAAGCUCUUCAUUGGUGGGCUUAAUACGGAAACAAAUGAGAAAGCUCUGGAAGCAGUAUUUGGCAAAUAUGGACGAAUAGUGGAAGUACUCUUGAUGAAAGACUGUGAAACCAACAAAUCAAGAGGAUUUGCUUUUGUCACCUUUGAAAGCCCAGCACACGCUAAGGAUGCAGCCACAGACAUGAAUGGAAAGUCAUUAGAUGGAAAAGCCAUCAAAGUGGAACAAGCCACCAAACCAUCAUUUGAAAGUGGUAGACAUGGGCCACCUCCACCUCCAAGAAGUAGAGGCCCUCCAAGAGGUCUUAGAGGUGGAAGAGGAGGAAGUGGAGGAACCAGGGGACCUCCCUCAUGGGGAGGACACAUGGAUGACGGUGGAUAUUCCAUGAAUUUUAACACGAGUUCUUCCAGGGGACCACUCCCAGUAAAAAGAGGACCACCACCAAGAAGUGGGGGUCCUCCUCCUAAGAGAUCUGCACCUUCAGGACCAGUUCGCAGCAGCAGUGGAAUGGGAGGAAGAGCUCUGGUAUCACGUGGAAGAGAUAGUUAUGGAGGUCCACCUCGAAGAGAACCGCUGCCUUCUCGUAGAGAUGUUUAUUUGUCCCCAAGAGAUGAUGGGUAUUCUCCUAAAGACAGCUAUUGCAGCAGAGAUUACCCAAGUUCUCGUGAUCCAAGAGAUUAUGCACCACCACCACGAGAUUAUACUUCCCGUGACUAUGGUCAUUCCAGUUCACCUGAUGACUAUCCAUCAAGAGGCUAUAGCGAUAGAGAUGGAUAUGGUCGUGAUCAUGACUAUUCAGAUCAUCCAGGUGGAGGUUCCUACAGAGACUCAUGUGAGAGUUAUGGUAACUCACGUAGUGCUCCACCUACAUGAGGGCCCCCGCCAUCUUAUGGUGGAAGCAGUCGCUAUGAUGAUGACAGCAGCUCACGUGACGGAUAUGGUGGAAGUCGAGCAGUUACUCAAGCAGCCGAAGUGAUCUCUACUCAAGUGGUCGUGAUCGGGUUGGCAGACAAGAAAGAGGGCUUCCUCCUUCUAUGGAAAGGGGGUACCCUCCUCCACGUGAUUCCUACAGCAGUUCAAGCCGGGGAGCACCAAGAAGUGGUGGCCGUGGAGGAAGCUGAUCUGAUAGAGGGGGAAGCAGAAGCAGAUACUAGAAACAAACAAAACUUUGGACCAAAAUCCCAGUCCAAAGAAACAAACAAAAAGUGGAAACUAUUCUGUUAUAACUACCCAAGGACUACUAAAAAGAA